rnacentral:lncRNA from 1 species
AGAAGGCCGAGAUCUUCAUCGAGUUGUAUGUGUGCUGAACACGGAGGUGCCAUCCGUUCGGCACUAGAUCGGGAAGAAUCAUGAUAAGAUCGCGGUACGGAUCGUUAUGAGAUCAUGGGACGGACCAUGAUGGGAUCGCAAAAUAGAUCGUGCUUGGAUCGCGAAGACAUGCGACUACAUCAACCGCAUUAUAUACGCUUCCACUUAUCGAUCUACAAGGGUAUGUAGAUCCACUCUCUCCUCUCGUAGAUGGUCCUCACCAUGGAUAGAUCUUCUGUGCACGUAGGAAAGAAUUUGUUUCCCAUGCGAUGUUCCCCAACAACGGCAUCAUGACCUAGAUCUAUGCGUAGAUGACAUCUCGAGUAGAACACAAAGGAGUUUGUGGGUGUUGAUAUUCAUAUUGCUUCCCUCCUUAGUCUUUUCUUGAUUCGGCGGUAUUGUUGGAUGAAGCGGC